UACAAUCAAUGUCGGCAUUGAUAUACAUAAGUUCCGAAGUUCACAUAGAGUGGGGGAAGCAUCAGGGUAUGAAGAUGUAGACCUUUGUAUUUCAGCCGCAAAAAGGAGAGGCGGUAUCGCCAAGGAGUGUAAAAUUAAAAAAGUUUGCGAUGUACAUAUUUACACAUUCAACGAUUUAAUUAUUCACCGGCAAAGAGUUAGUACGUGGCUUAGUUUCAUUAGUUUUUAUUUAGUGCCCAAUGGAGAAUAUAAAUGAGACUACUAUUUUGAUACAAUUAGUAUCAAGACACCAAGCACUCUAUGACAAAUCAAGGAAUGAUUAUAAGAAUAUAAUUUAAAAAAAGAAACUGUGGGAGAUUAUUGCUUCCGAAAUGUAUGUGACGCUGGAGAAAGAGACUUCAGAGGAACAGAAGAAAAUCCGAAAAUAUAUCCCAUCGGGUUCAGCAGCACAAGAAAUUUCUUCAAAUUGGCCUUAUUAUGAAGAUAUAUCAGGUGUUUAAUUUUUUCCAUUUUUACUUAAUAAUAGAAUUUCGUGGUCAGAAUAUCAUUAUUAAUAUUCUACGGAAUAUUAAUUUACAAAAAAUAAUAGUUAAGACAAACAAAAUUUUGUAUUUCAAUAUCAUAAUUCAUAAAACUGUCAA